rnacentral:rRNA from 1 species
GAGAUGUGUGAUGACGCAUAUCAAUAAGCGGAGGAAAAGAAACUAACAAGGAUUCCCUUAGUAACGGCGAGUGAAGCGGGAAGAGCUCAAAUUUGAAAUCUUCAAGGUUCUACCUUGACGAAUUGUAGUUUAUAGAAGUGUUUUCUGUUAGUAGAGUGGCAAAAGUCCUUUGGAAUAGGACAUCAUAGAGGGUGAGAAUCCCGUAUUUGGUCAUUCUUUCUAGCUUUGUGAUACACUUUCAACGAGUCGGAUUGUUUGGGAAUGCAGUCCAAAAUGGGUGGUAAAUUUCAUCUAAAGCUGAAUAUUGGCGAGAGACCGAUAGCGAACAAGUACCGUGAGGGAAAGAUGAAAAGGAACUUUGAAAAGAGAGUUAAACAGUACGUGAAAUUGUCAAAAGGGAAGCGUUUGACACCAGUGUUGUUUUUCCGAAAAUCAAUUACGAAUGUUUUAGUUUUUGAGGAGUUAUGACUUCAUCGGCUUGCUUCUCUCUUUAUGAAACUUUCUUAAUGCACUUUUCGGUUAACAAGUCAACAUCAAUUUCUUUUGUUGUAAAAGGGUAUGAGGAAGGUGGCUUUCUUUUCGGAGAAAGUGUUUAUAGCCUUGUAGCCUCUGCAAUCGGAGAGAUUGAGGUCUGCAGCGUAGAUCCUUCGGGGUUAGAUACAUUUGUGCUAAGUUAUAGCUUUUCAUAGACAACUUGUUGACUAUGUUAAGUCUUGUAGCUUACUCGCUUAUGCUAUUUUACCUACGCUUAGGAUGUUGAAGAUGUAGCACAUCAU